rnacentral:lncRNA from 1 species
GACAAUUGGUAUACAUGCUUGCAACGAAGUUGAUCACUUUGUUGGUCAUUAUUUCUGUAGUACUACUAUGUACUAGAUACUAAACUUAUUUUUCUUAAGAUAUUAGCAUUCUAAAACUAUUCAAACGUUUACUAACCAUUUAUAAAAGUAAGAUAUGCUGAUCUGAUUAUUUGGAAACUACAUUAAAGGGUAUAGAAAAAAGUGAAAAAAUACUCUGUGGUGUCCCUGAGAGACUAUCACCAUCAACCAUGUGAAGUUAUCUUCUUGUUUUUUGACUCUGUGUGUGUCUCAGCAAAGCUUACAAUAUGCUAUGUAGAGAGUUUAGCAUUUGCUUUUUCCUUUUGCUUAAUUUUACUUCAUAAUCAUUUUUCCCAUAUCAUUACAAACUUUUCAUAAACCAUCUUAUUGAUGGUCAUGUGAUCUUCAUCUUAUGUGCAGCAAAUACUAUCUUUUUUCCACGAACACAUCAUAUGGAGUCCAGAUUUCUUUUAAAGUUAGAAAUAUGUUCAUAACUCAUAGAUAUGUCCAAUUUUAUGUGCCAGUUAAGAAAACAUAAAACAUUGAAUUAAUAAUACUAAUAAAUCUGUCUCAUCUGCACAGACCAAGGUUUUCUGGAAAAGUUAGCUCAUUCAUGUUUUGGGACGUCUCUAUAAUUCUCUUCCAGAAAAUACACACACACACACAUACACACAAUGUAUACACAACGCACACACGCACACCCUGGAGCCUGACAGAUCACAACCAUGAAAGCGGGUCUCUGGUUUUCAAUCCAUCAUGACUUCCAUUGCCCCUACCCCUGGCCCAUGCCCUUGUGAUGCGGACAGUCCUCCUGACGAGC